rnacentral:rRNA from 1 species
AUUGAACGCUGGCGGCAGGCCUAACACAUGCAAGUCGAGCGGAUGAAGGGAGCUUGCUCCUGGAUUCAGCGGGGGACGGGUGAGUAAUGCCUAGGAAUCUGCCUGGUAGUGGGGGAUAACGUCCGGAAACGGGCGCUAAUACCGCAUACGUCCUGAGGGAGAAAGUGGGGGAUCUUCGGACCUCACGCUAUCAGAUGAGCCUAGGUCGGAUUAGCUAGUUGGUGGGGUAAAGGCAUACCAAGGCGACGAUCCGUAACUGGUCUGAGAGGAUGAUCAGUCACACUGGAACUGAGACACGGUCCAGACUCCUACGGGAGGCAGCAGUGGGGAAUAUUGGACAAUGGGCGAAAGCCUGAUCCAGCCAUGCCGCGUGUGUGAAGAAGGUCUUCGGAUUGUAAAGCACUUUAAGUUGGGAGGAAGGGCAGUAAGUUAAUACCUUGCUGUUUUGACGUUACCAACAGAAUAAGCACCGGCUAACUUCGUG